UACGUAGGCGCAAGCGUUGUUCCGGAAUUUACUGGGCGUAAAGGAGUGUGAGGCGGAUAUUUAAGUCAGAUGUGAAAUACCCGAGCUUAACUUGGGUGCUGCAUUUGAAACUGGAUAUCUGGAGUGCAGGAGAGAAAGUGGAAUUCCUAGUGUAGCGGUGAAAUGCGUAGAGAUUAGGAAGAACACCAGUGGCGAAGGCGACUUUCUGGACUGUAAACUGACGCUGAGGCUCGAAAGCGUGGGGAGCAAACAGG
rnacentral:rRNA from 1 species